UCCGGCAGCUAGCUCUCUGCAACUCUCACAUGGUCGCCCACUGAAGCUAAGCAGGGCUGCGCCCGGUCAGUACCUGGAUGGGAGACCACUUGGGAAAGCUAGGUUGAUGCCGGAA
rnacentral:rRNA from 1 species